rnacentral:lncRNA from 1 species
GCAGAAGGCAGGAGGAGGGAGGGGAGGAGGGGGAGGGAGGGAGAGAGGGAAUCCAGCUACCACCACCCAAAGCCAGCGUCUGCUUUCUGUCCUCAUUUCCUUUUCCCACCCAGCUUGGAGAGCAGAGAAAGGCAGAGAGAGCGAGAAAUAGAGACAGUCUGAGAGACAGACAGACAGCCAGAGAGAGCGGGAGGGAGGAGGGCGGAGGAGGAGGAGCAGGAGGACUACGCGGGGCGCGUUCCCUCCCAGCCGGGCGCCCGCGUCGCUGCCACCGCCGGAAGACAGACGUCCCCCAAAACCCCUCGCCUGGCUCGGACCCACGGAGCCGGCAGCCCAGCACUCCGAUGGGAGCUUGCCUGAUUGUCAACCCAUCGGCCUGGACCCCAGAGCCCACCCAGCUGAGCGUGUGCAGAGGGCCCCGAGUGCGGGGCGACGCUCAGGCCGUUGCAGAGACCACCCUGGAGAUGCUGAUGAAGACAGGCCUUUCCUGCUGAGCCCAGCCUAUCUUCGCAGCCUGCUCAGGUAACAGUGUGCAGGGAAGUCAGGCUUGGGCCUGCGCCACCCCCAGGAAGUGGGGAU